AACCAUAGAAACCUGCGGAGUACCUGCGGAGGGAUCAUUAUAGUAUAUGGAAUCUCCAUUCUAUAAACCCACUCUGCGUAUCUUGUAACUGUUGCUUCCAUGGGACUUGGUUCCGCCACACCGGCUUCACGGCUGGUGAGCGCCCAUGGAAGGAGAAACAAAACUCUUCUUUGGAAUGUAGUCAGUCUGAACAAGUUUUUAUAAACGUUAAAACUUUUAACAAUGGAUCUCAGAUCGGAA
rnacentral:misc_RNA from 1 species